ensembl:snRNA U6 U6 spliceosomal RNA
AUGCUCAUUUCAGCAGCACACACACUAAAACUAGAAUGAUACAAAGAUUAGCAUGGCCCCUGCACAAGUAUGACACACAAAUUCAUAAAGCGUUCCACAUUAAA